rnacentral:rRNA from 1 species
UACAGAGGGGGCUAGCGUUAUUCGGAAUUAUUGGGCGUAAAGGGCGCGUAGGCGGCCAUGCGUGUCUUCCGUGAAAUCCCUCGGCUUAACUGAGGACGUGCGGAAGAAACUGCAAGGCUCGAGUCCGGGAGAGGGGGGUGGAAUUCCCAGUGUAGCGGUGAAAUGCGUAGAUAUCGAGAGGAACACCUGCGGCGAAGGCGGGUUGCUGGGCCGACACUGACGCUGAUGCGCGAAAGCCAGGGGAGCGAACGGG